rnacentral:tRNA from 1 species
GGUUGUAGCUCAGCGGUAGAGCGCUUGCUUAGCAUGUGCGAGGUGCUGGGUUUGAUCCUCAGCACCA